UACGUAGGGUGCGAGCGUUGUCCGGAAUUACUGGGCGUAAAGAGUUCGUAGGCGGUUUGUCGCGUCGUUCGUGAAAACUUGGGGCUUAACUCCAAGCGUGCGGGCGAUACGGGCAGACUUGAGUACUACAGGGGAGACUGGAAUUCCUGGUGUAGCGGUGAAAUGCGCAGAUAUCAAGAGGAACACCUGCGGCGAAGGCGGGUUGCUGGGCCGACACUGACGCUGAGGCGCGAAAGCUAGGGGAGCGAACGGG
rnacentral:rRNA from 1 species